UACAGUUAUAGUUGCAGUCCAUCAUGGAGACAUCACAGAUGUAGGACCAUGCAACAGCUUGUUAUACUGCCUUGGUAAACAGGAAACAGAGGGACAUAAGAGCUAGACUCAGCUUACUUUCUCCUUUUCAUUCGGUCUGUGGAAAGGUACCAGCGACAAACAUUUAAGGAGAUGGAACCUAACAUCGAAGAUGACGUUCUCUGAAGAAGCUGCAGUACUCUUCAAAGGGAAGGAAGAGGACAGAGCAUUCCCGUUCUCCUCUACUCAAAACAUGAAUUUCUUACUCCACCAAAUUUCUUUUCUCCCAAAGCCAAAAACAAAAGUCAUGCUUUUGUUCUUCUUGCCACCAUCAAGAGGAAAACUGGGGAAGUUCUUCUGUAGUUACAAUAUUGAAAAGAAAGGGAAUUGGAAACCUAAAGUGAGAAUGAACAAUUUGGCAGGCCAGCAGAGCAGCCAGACAAAAUGAUAUGGAGCAAAGCAGGUUAGCUCAUGCAGAUGCACACCAAUGUACAGAAAGACAAAAAUCAGC
ensembl:lncRNA